CCUGGGUAGCUCAGUGGUUGAGCAUCUGUCUUCAGCUCAGGUCUUCAUCCUGCGGUCCUGGGAUCAAGUCCCGGCAUCAGGC
rnacentral:tRNA from 1 species